GAUGAACGCUAGCGGCAGGCCUAACACAUGCAAGUCGAGGGAGAAGCCCUUUCGGGGGCAGAAACCGGCGCACGGGUGCGUAACGCGUAUGCAACCUACCUUUCACAUGGGGAUAGCCCGAAGAAAUUUGGAUUAAUACCCCAUAAUAUUAUUGGAUGGCAUCAUUUGAUAAUUAAAACUGCGGUGGUGAAAGAUGGGCAUGCGUCCUAUUAGCUAGUUGGAGUGGUAACGGCACCCCAAGGCUACGAUAGGUAGGGGUCAUGAGAGGGAGAUCCCCCACAACGGUACUGAGACAGGGACUAGAACGGUACGGGAGGGAGCAGUGAGGAAUAUUGGUCAAUGGUCGGAAGACUGACCCAGCCACGCCGCGUGCAGGAAGAAUGCCUUAUGGGUGGUAAACUGUUGUUAUAUGGGAAGAAUAAGGCGUACGUGUACGUUGAUGACGGUACCAUAUGAAUAAGCAUCGGCUAACUCCGUG
rnacentral:rRNA from 1 species